CAUCAUAAGAUAGAAUAAAUAUACAUCAAAGCAUUGUUAAAACUAUUACUACGCAGAAAAUAAUAAUUCAUAUAUUGAAAAGUUAUAGACAUGAAUUGCUGCAAGUACACAAAUUGAGUAUUCAUAAGCAUACAUCUUUGGUUUAUGAUGAUGCAUCCUUGCCCUUGACAAUAAUGACGGGACAUUCUACAUGGUUGGUGCAAUAGUUGCUUACACUUCCCAAAAACAUCCUUUUAACAGGGCCAAAAGCACGACACCCCGUCACAAGUAAAUCAGCGUGCAGAUUCUCAACAGCUUCACAAAUCUUCUCCUUGGGAUCCCCAAUAACCACUUGCGUUUUAACAUUGACUACUUUUUUUUGGCGGCAGAUCCCCAAGGCAUGUUCUAAAACGGCUUCGGUUAUCCGCUUUUGAUGUGCCUCGAUCGCCGCAGUGAAGGCAGGCACCUCCAAAUCACUGGGCCCGCCGAAGGGGAUAGCGCCGGGAUUGAGUCCAGCAGCGAUAGUAGGCGGAGAUUGGACGUGGAGUAUGAUGAAGGAGCCAGGGGUUUCAUUGGAGUCGGACGAAGUGGAUCGGAGUUUG
rnacentral:misc_RNA from 1 species